rnacentral:misc_RNA from 1 species
GAUGAAGAACGUAGCGAAAUGCGAUACGUAAUGUGAAUUGCAGAAUUCAGUGAAUCAUCGAGUCUUUGAACGCACAUUGCGUCCCCUGGUAUUCCGGGGGGCAUGCCUGUCCGAGCGUCAUUGCUGCCCUCAAGCACGGCUUGUGUGUUGGGCCUCCGUCCUCCUCCCGGGGGACGGGCCCGAAAGGCAGCGGCGGCACCGCGUCCGGUCCUCGAGCGUAUGGGGCUUCGUCACCCGCUUUUGUAGGCCCGGCCGGCGCUUGCCGACACAUCAAUCUUUUUUCCAGGUUGACCUCGGAUCAGGUAGGGAUACCCGCUGAACUUAAGCAUAUCAAUAAGCGGAGGA